AUGAACGCUAGCUACAGGCUUAACACAUGCAAGUCGAGGGGCAGCAUGGUCUUAGCUUGCUAAGGCCGAUGGCGACCGGCGCACGGGUGAGUAACACGUAUCCAACCUGCCGUCUACUCUUGGACAGCCUUCUGAAAGGAAGAUUAAUACAAGAUGGCAUCAUGAGUCCGCAUGUUCACAUGAUUAAAGGUAUUCCGGUAGACGAUGGGGAUGCGUUCCAUUAGAUAGUAGGCGGGGUAACGGCCCACCUAGUCUUCGAUGGAUAGGGGUUCUGAGAGGAAGGUCCCCCACAUUGGAACUGAGACACGGUCCAAACUCCUACGGGAGGCAGCAGUGAGGAAUAUUGGUCAAUGGGCGAGAGCCUGAACCAGCCAAGUAGCGUGAAGGAUGACUGCCCUAUGGGUUGUAAACUUCUUUUAUAAAGGAAUAAAGUCGGGUAUGGAUACCCGUUUGCAUGUACUUUAUGAAUAAGGAUCGGCUAACUCCGUGCCAGCAGCCGCGGUAAUACGGAGGAUCCGAGCGUUAUCCGGAUUUAUUGGGUUUAAAGGGAGCGUAGAUGGAUGUUUAAGUCAGUUGUGAAAGUUUGCGGCUCAACCGUAAAAUUGCAGUUGAUACUGGAUAUCUUGAGUGCAGUUGAGGCAGGCGGAAUUCGUGGUGUAGCGGUGAAAUGCUUAGAUAUCACGAAGAACUCCGAUUGCGAAGGCAGCCUGCUAAGCUGCAACUGACAUUGAGGCUCGAAAGUGUGGGUAUCAAACAGGAUUAGAUACCCUGGUAGUCCACACGGUAAACGAUGAAUACUCGCUGUUUGCGAUAUACUGCAAGCGGCCAAGCGAAAGCGUUAAGUAUUCCACCUGGGGAGUACGCCGGCAACGGUGAAACUCAAAGGAAUUGACGGGGGCCCGCACAAGCGGAGGAACAUGUGGUUUAAUUCGAUGAUACGCGAGGAACCUUACCCGGGCUUAAAUUGCAGAUGAAUUACGGUGAAAGCCGUAAGCCGCAAGGCAUCUGUGAAGGUGCUGCAUGGUUGUCGUCAACUCGUGCCGUGAGGUGUCGGCUUAAGUGCCAUAACGAGCGCAACCCUUGUUGUCAGUUACUAACAGGUUCCGCUGAGGACUCUGACAAGACUGCCAUCGUAAGAUGUGAGGAAGGUGGGGAUGACGUCAAAUCAGCACGGCCCUUACGUCCGGGGCUACACACGUGUUACAAUGGGGGGUACAGAGGGCCGCUACCACGCGAGUGGAUGCCAAUCCCCAAAACCUCUCUCAGUUCGGACUGGAGUCUGCAACCCGACUCCACGAAGCUGGAUUCGCUAGUAAUCGCGCAUCAGCCACGGCGCGGUGAAUACGUUCCCGGGCCUUGUACACACCGCCCGUCAAGCCAUGGGAGCCGGGGGUACCUGAAGUGCGUAACCGCGAGGAGCGCCCUAGGGUAAAACUGGUGACUGGGGCU
rnacentral:rRNA from 1 species